rnacentral:rRNA from 1 species
CUACGGGUGGCACCAGGCGAGAAAACUUUGCAAUGUGCGAAAGCACGACAAGGUUAAUCCGAGUGGUUUCUGCUAAAGGAACCUUUUGACAGUCCUAGAAACACUGUUGAAUAAGGGGUGGGCAAGUUCUGGUGUCAGCCGCCGCGGUAAAACCAGCACCUCAAGUGGUCAGGAUGAUUAUUGGGCCUAAAGCAUCCGUAGCCGGCUCUGUAAGUUUUCGGUUAAAUCUGUACGCUCAACGUACAGGCUGCCGGGAAUACUGCAGAGCUAGGGAGUGGGAGAGGUAGACGGUACUCGGUAGGAAGGGGUAAAAUCCUUUGAUCUAUUGAUGACCACCUGUGGCGAAGGCGGUCUACCAGAACACGUCCGACGGUGAGGGAUGAAAGCUGGGGGAGCAAACCGGAUUAGAUACCCCCGUAGUC